ensembl:misc_RNA Y_RNA Y RNA
GGCUGGCCCAAGUGCUGUGGUGUUUACAACUAAUUGAUCACAACCAGUUACAAUUUUCUUUGUUCCUUAUCCACUCCCAUUGUUUCACUUGGCUAGCCUAAA